UAGUUAGUUAACUUCCAUCUUCAGUGAGAUGCAGUCUUCCGUUUUGUGACUGUGGUCAUUAUGGAAUUCAAACCAUAUGUUCGGAUUCUAGAAUGUUUAUUGUCGUUUAAUCUUCUGAGGUCUAUAUUGUUGAGGAUGUUUUUGGCUUUGUCGAAGAGGAAUUUCAAGAGGUAUUCUUUCCUUAAUAGUUAGUUAACUUCCAUCUUCAGUGAGAUGCAGUCUUCCGUUUUGUGACUGUGGUCAUUAUGGAAUUCAAACCAUAUGUUCGGAUUCUAGAAUGUUUAUUGUCGUUUAAUCUUCUGAGGUCUAUAUUGUUGAGGAUGUUUUUGGCUUUGUCGAAGAGGAAUUUCAAGAGGUAUUCUUUCCUUAAUAGUUAGUUAACUUCCAUCUUCAGUGAGAUGCAGUCUUCCGUUUUGUGAUUGUGGUCAUUAUGGAAUUCACACCAUAUGUUCAGAUUCCAGAAUGUUUAUGGUCUUUUAAUCUUCUGAGGUCACUUGACAUGUGGACCCAUUUGCCACAAUCAUUGACCAAUUCCUGUUUCGAGAUGGAGAGAUUGGAGAUAUUUGGCCAUGUUGUGAUACUAGCAUUCCUUUGGAUUUUUCAGUAGGUUGAUUGUGGUGUCUACCAUGAUUCAUGCCUCAUGCUUCUGAUAGGGUUCGUUGUCUUUGUCGCUUUUCUCAAUCUUUGCGAC
rnacentral:lncRNA from 1 species